rnacentral:misc_RNA from 1 species
GAUGAAGAACGUAGUGAAAUGCGAUAAGUAGUGUGAAUUGCAGAAUUCAGUGAAUCAUCGAAUCUUUGAACGCACAUUGCGCCCCUUGGUAUCCCGAGGGGCAUGCCUGUUCGAGCGUCAUUUCACCACUCAAGCCUGGCUUGGUGUUGGGCGACGUCCCCUUUGGGGACGCGCCUCGAAACGCUCGGCGGCGUGGCACCGGCUUUAAGCGUAGCAGAAUCUUUCGCUUUGGAAGUCGGGGCCCCGUCUGCCGGAAGACCUACUCGCAAGGUUGACCUCGGAUCAGGCAGGGAUACCCGCUGAACUUAAGCAUAUCAAAGCGGAGGA